rnacentral:rRNA from 1 species
UACGUAGGGGGCAAGCGUUGUCCGGAAUCAUUGGGCGUAAAGCGCGUGUAGGCGGCCCGGUAAGUCCGCUGUGAAAGUCGGGGGCUCAACCCUCGAAUGCCGGUGGAUACUGUCGGGCUAGAGUGCGGAAGAGGCGAGUGGAAUUCCUGGUGUAGCGGUGAAAUGCGCAGAUAUCAGGAGGAACACCAAUGGCGAAGGCAGCACUCUGGGACGUGACUGACGCUGAGACGCGAAAAGCGUGGGGGAGCAAACAGG